UAGUAGUAGUAGUAGUGUUUAGUCCUGAAAAAUCCAAAUAUUGUCUUAUACAUGUUGUUGAAUGCAGGUGGUUUAGUUUCGACUACUUUGCCGUCCCGUCCUGUCCCUCGGCCGAGUUUCAGAGGACGUGAGAGGAGCUCCAGCGCCUCAGCUUCCGACGCCGUUUAGUUCUACUCCUCAGUCGACAGCGGGAUCCAAUAACCCGCCUCGUAUGUCACCGGAUCCUGGAGCCUUCGACACACCACCCUCGACGUAGAGGCAGGACGGUUGGGGACGAUGGUGAGUUCUCGCAGUCCUACGGUGCGUACGUGUCGGCGGUUUAGAACUUUGGUUCGAUUUGAUGAACUUGUGGACUACUGGAUGGUCGUGAUAUAUAUA